AUGGCUGCACCUGUGGUAUAUAGACGUUCCCAGGCUAGGGGUCAAAUUGGAACCACAGCUGUAGGUCUGUGCCACAGCCAUGGCAACAUGGGAUCUGAGUCAUAUCUGUGAUCUACACUACAGCUUACAGCAACACCAGAUCCUUAACCCACUGAGUGAGGGAUUGAAUCUACGUCUUCAUGGAGACUAUGCCAGGUUCUUAGUCCACUGAGCCACAGAGAGAACUCCCUGUUUUUAAUUGUUCAUUCAAAAUUUUGUACUCAUUUUCUAAAAAAGGGAGUCUCCUCAAACUGUAUUAAGAUCCAAGCCCCAGAGAUUUGGGCUCUGUCUGUGCCUUCCUCACUACCGGCCUCUCCUUUCAGCCUCUUCUGCUGGGUCUUCCUCAUCUACCAGAUCUCCUAGUUUUUCCUCUGGCCUGUCUAUACCUAUUCUCCAGCGGAUAUCAUGCUGUCCUCACGGCUUUAAAUAUAACAUGCUGCCCACACACAAAGUGUAUCUCUAGCCCAAACUUCUCUCUAAUUUCACAUAUUCAACUACCACUUAGCCCCGCCCUUGCCUCUCUGAUUUUACCUCCUCUCACUCUCUGCUCCCAGCUGCUUGUUGGACCCUGUCAGUAUGCAUUUGCACAUGUGCUUCUCUUUGUCUGGAACACCUGUUCCCCACUGACCUAAAUGGCUUGCUCCCCACCACCUUUACGGCUUUACUUCACAGUUCCCUCAUUCGUGGGGUGUUCUCUAACCUAUUUUUUUUUUUUUUUUUGGCCGUGCCCAUGGCAUGUGGAAGUUCCGGGGCCAGAGAGCAAACCUGCACCACAGCAUGUGCCAGAUCCUUAACCCUCUGAGCCACCAGGGCACUCCCCCCUAACCUAUUUCAAUAUCAAUUCUUUUCCACAAGUCCACUUCUCCCAGUUUAUAUUCUCUCUCCACUGACCGACUAGAAUGUAAGCUUCCUGAGGGCAGGGAGUUGACUUUUUUGUUUCCUGCUGGGUUCCCAGGAAGCAGAGCAAUAUGGCAGAUACUGAGUGAAUAUCUGUUAAAUGAAUGAAUGAGUAAAAAAAUAAAAUGAAUACAUUCAUCUAAGUUUCACGAGGGCAUGGCAUUCCUAGCACCAAACACAGUCCCUGCCUUGGGUUUGGAAGACCUUCACAAGUGUUUGCUGAAUGGCUGAAUGACUUCAGGCAGAGCAGCGGAGGAGAAAUGAAGCUAGUUAAGAAAAGGGAAAUGGGGAGUUCCCGUCGUGGCUCAGUGGUUAACGAAUCCAACUAAGAACCAUGAGGUUGCGGGUUUGAUCCCUGGCCUCACUGAGUGGGCCAAGGAUCGAACCUGCAACCUCAUGGUUCCUGGUCGGAUUUGUUAACCACUGACCCAUGACGGGAAUUCCUGGGAAUACCUUUAAAUGGAAAAAUCUGGUGGACACGCUUUUAACCGAACAAUCAAACUUAAGAUCCUCAGGGAUGGGACAAUCUGCAUCACUGCUCCUGACGUGAUGCACUGAGGACCUGGCAUCACCUCUAGGAUAUCGCUGCUGCCAAAGUGUUUGGCUUGAGUCUAGAUCAGGAGGGAUCAGCUGGACAAAUUUACAGUGAGGGGAAUUUCUGCAAAACCAAUAAAAUAACUGGUCUGGACUCUUCGAAUAGAAAAAGACAUUAUUGGAAUAAUUUGGAAAAUGGGAAUAUUAAGCACAUAUCAGAAAAGAUAUGAAUUUAAUUACAUUUCCUGAAUGUGAUAACUGGCCUGUGGUUGCAUAAGAGAACAUCUUUAUUAAGAGAUAAAUGGUGAAAAAAAUAUAGCACACGCAGUAAAAUGUAAACAACUCAUGAGUCUGGGUGAAGGGAAUAUGGUGUCCUCGGCAUGUGCUUUGUUGUUGAAGUUUUGAAACUUUUCAAAAGAAAAAGGACCAAUCUUUUUUUUUUUCUUUUUACGGCUGCACCUGCAGCAUAUGGAAGUUCUCUGGCCAGGGUCACAUCAGAGCUGCAGUUGCAACCUACACCACAGCCAUGGCAACACUGGAUCUGAGCCAAAUCUGUGACCUGUGCUGCAGCUUGUGGCAACACUGGAUUCUCAACCCACUGAGUGAAGCCAGAGACUGAACCCGCAUCCUCACGGAUACUAUGUCAGGUUCUUAACCCACUGAGCCAAAACAGGAUCUUUAGAACCAAUCUUUUAAGUCCGACAGACCUUGGUUUAAAAAAGCAAAGCAAAGGAAAAAGGAGAGAGAGAGAAAAAGCAAGCAAGAGGAACAGGGGGAGAAUGAAAUAUUAGGUGCAGGCAAAGACGAUGUAAAAGGAAAAAAAAAAUCUAUCCUGUGAAGAACCGAUAUGUUAUCUCAUCUAGCUCUCAGAGAACCAUGUGGGGGUAGACAGUAUUACUCCCAUUUUCACUGAUGAGAAGCUUGCGGUCAGGAGUUUGAGGGACAGGCCCAAGAUCACACAGAAGAGGACUCAAAACUCAAGUGCAGACUCUCUCAUUGUACUGCUUGCUCCUGCCUUACUGGGAAGAUAAGACAAGUGGAUGAAGAGUCACAGCAGGGGAGGGGUGUGAAACAAAAACACAGGGCGAAAACACACGUAGGCACUCAUAGCGCAUGUGCCUAGAAAUGACAUACAUUCAAAUGCACAAAGAAAAAGUAAGAGGAGAAAAAGGCACAUAUCAGCCUAGAAAGUCAAAACAGAAGCAUGCUUCCACACACGCACAUCCCAUCGCAAAGGGAAGAUCGUUCACAUCGAUGCCUCUAAAGACUCCAGAACUGGGCUGUGUAUUCACAGACGUAACCAGGGGUGCUAUGUCACGGUCCUGCCCCUUCUAGAACAGCUAACACGAAGCUAGGGUUCAUGGCCUUGGGAUCUACCCCUGGUCUAGGGGGAAAAGGAGGGGCGAGCCCAUACUUAGGUCUAGAUGCCAUGCUUGACAAACUGGUUGAAGCAGAAGUGACUGGUAAUCACAAGAUAUUGAUGGUUAAUUUUAAAGAAGUAAUCUUCGCUUCUUCCAACUCCAAGCUGAAAGUGGAAAGGGAUGAGGGGGAAGAGGUCAAAACACUUUGGCUUCAACUUUUCAUUUGCUUUGGCAGUGAAGACCAGUGUUUUCUAAUGCAAGGAAGAUUUCCCCGAGCGAUUGCUAAAAUUCUUAAGUCUCCAAGCAUGAGAAUGCUAGUAUCAGGUGGCUUUAUAAUUUCUAGGAGCUCAGAAAAAUAUUUGCUAGAGAAUCCUAAGAAUUAAGAGUCAUGAUCCUGGCCAUCACUGGAAUGAGAACCAGACAUGACCACGGAGGUUUGGAAAAUAGCACAAGGCAGAGAUUAUAUUCUAAGCUUUACUUAGAAAGCAGGAAAUAGCCGCCCAGGAGCUGAAUCUACCAUGAUAUAAAGCCAAUGAGGGACUGAAGCUACCACAACAUGACUCUUGGACUGACGGCCUGUUUUGUGAAUUGUUUCAUAUUGCAAAAUAAAUCAUAAGCUGCUGCAGAACAUCAAAAACCAACCAACCAACCAAUCAAAAAAUCACUCAAAGCAAAAGGAAAAAGAAAGGCAACAUAUUUCCUCAAUUCAAAAACAUAUUUUUAAUGUUCACUGCGGUAGUAUUUAUAAUACUCAAGACAUGGGAGCAACCUGAAUG
rnacentral:lncRNA from 1 species